UACAUAAAGUGGUAUCCUCUUUAAUAACAGAAAUGUUGCUUGAUUAAGGGACAACAUCAAAUGAUUAAUGGAGGAUAAAAAACUUAGAUCAAAUAGUUUUGGGGUGGGGGUAAAAAUUGAUUCAAGUUUUGUUAAUCCAAAAUCGAUUUUACAUAUAUCCAUAUUGGUCAAUCAUUUUUUUUUCAAAAUGAAGUCAAGAGGAGGGGUGGUUAGUCAGUGAAACACGCUGAUAUGUCUCGCCUUCUUUACUAAUCAUUUAUAUUAUGUUGAUAUUUCUAAAUAAAAAGCUUUAUUACAACUGUCACAUAAGCUCAACAUUAACCAAGAAAACUAAACAUUGAUCAAUGAACCAUGAAAAUGAGGUCAAGGUCAGAUGAACCAUGCCAUGUAGACAUGUACAGCUAACAAUUCUU
rnacentral:lncRNA from 1 species